GUAGGGAAUAUUGCGCAAUGGGGGAAACCCUGACGCAGCGACGCCGCGUGAGUGAUGAAGGCCUUCGGGUCGUAAAGCUCUGUUGCAGGGGAAUAAAAAAAUGAAGGUACCCUGUGAGGAAGGAUCGGCUAACUUCGUGCCAGCAGCCGCGGUAAGACGAGGGAUCCUAGCGUUGCUCGGAAUCAUUGGGCGUAAAGAGGGCGUAGGUGGCUUGGUAAGUCAGGUGUGAAAGCCCAGGGCUCAACCCUGGAAGUGCAUUUGAUACUGCUGAGCUUGAGUGUCGGAGAGGUUACCGGAAUACCUGGUGUAGUGGUGAAAUACGUAGAUAUCAGGUGGAACACCGGAGGCGAAGGCGGGUAACAGGACGAACACUGACACUGAGGCCCGAAAGCGUGGGGAUCAAACAGGAUUAGAAACCCCGGUAGUCC
rnacentral:rRNA from 1 species